rnacentral:rRNA from 1 species
AGUGAACGCUGGCGGUAGGCCUAACACAUGCAAGUCGAACGGCAGCACAGGAGAGCUUGCUCUCUGGGUGGCGAGUGGCGGACGGGUGAGGAAUACAUCGGAAUCUACUCUGUCGUGGGGGAUAACGUAGGGAAACUUACGCUAAAACCGCAUACGACCUACGGGUGAAAGCAGGGGAUCUUCGGACCUUGCGCGAUUGAAUGAGCCGAUGUCGGAUUAGCUAGUUGGCGGGGUAAAGGCCAACCAAGGCGACGAUCCGUAGCUGGUCUGAGAGGAUGAUCAGCCACACUGGAACUGAGACACGAUCCAGACUCCUACGGGAGGCAGCAGUGGGGAAUAUUGGACAAUGGGCGCAAGCCUGAUCCAGCCAUACCGCGUGGGUGAAGAAGGCCUUCGGGUUGUAAAGCCCUUUUGUUGGGAAAGAAAUCCAGCUGGCUAAUACCCGGUUGGGAUGACGGUACCCAAAGAAUAAGCACCGGCUAACUUCGUGCCAGCAGCCGCAGUAA